UUCCGUAGGUGAACCUGCGGAGGGAUCAUUACACAAAUAUGAAGGCGGGCUGGAACCUCUCGGGGUUACAGCCUUGCUGAAUUAUUCACCCUUGUCUUUUGCGUACUUCUUGUUUCCUUGGUGGGUUCGCCCACCACUAGGACAAACAUAAACCUUUUGUAAUUGCAAUCAGCGUCAGUAACAAAUUAAUAAUUACAACUUUCAACAACGGAUCUCUUGGUUCUGGCAUCGAUGAAGAACGCAGCGAAAUGCGAUAAGUAGUGUGAAUUGCAGAAUUCAGUGAAUCAUCGAAUCUUUGAACGCACAUUGCGCCCUUUGGUAUUCCAAAGGGCAUGCCUGUUCGAGCGUCAUUUGUACCCUCAAGCUUUGCUUGGUGGUGGGCGUCUUGUCUCUAGCUUUGCUGGAGACUCGCCUUAAAGUAAUUGGCAGCCGGCCUACUGGUUUCGGAGCGCAGCACAAGUCGCACUCUCUAUCAGCAAAGGUCUAGCAUCCAUUAAGCCUUUUUUUUCAACUUUUGACCUCGGAUCAGGUAGGG
rnacentral:rRNA from 1 species